rnacentral:lncRNA from 1 species
AAAUAUUUUAAUUUUUAAACUCAAUAGAGUAAAGUUUUUGUGCAAUGAGUAUUACUGUUUCUGUGUUUUUCAUAUUCAUUUCCUUUUACAGUAACCUUUUGUAUAUGAGAUUGUAGAUGAAAAUUUAAAUCGUGAUAUUGAAUCUUACCAGAGAAUAAAGAAACCGUUUACCUCAACCAGAGUUAAAUUUCAUAGAAUUAUGUUGACCAUGAUCCAACUAUUGCCAUGGAUGUGCACUUGUGUCUUAGGCUUAUGCUUUGCAAAAGGUUCACCAUCGCCCUUAAGUUGCUGUGGGUUUUGCGGUUUUACUUCCAACCUGGCAUAUAAAUGCACUUAGUAUCUGAAGUUAUUUGUCAAUAACUGGUGAUCAGACUAUUUCAAACGAAUACGUUUUUAAGGGCUGAGAAGGUUAGUUUAUUAUCUUUGUUGUAAUAGCUCUAAACUUGACUGUUUCAAUAUUUUCAUUAUAUAUCAUUGCCU